AUUAUGUGAACAUAAAAUGUUUUAUUUUUUCAGAAAGAUAAAAUAUAUUAUGUUCACAUAAUUUAAGAUGCAGUUUUAACAAAACAAUUUUGUAC